CCCAUUUACUUUCCCGGUUGCCCCCCAAAUGUUUGCCCUGUCCUCACUCUUUACCCCAAAAUCUGGAAAAUCCCUAAAGUAAACCAUCUUCCUCUUCAUCACUCAUCAAUUUCUGAAAAUUGAAAUCCCUCUCCCGUUCGGCUGUCCCUCACCCAUCUCCGGUUAAACCAUCCUUCUUCGUCAUUUUAUGGAACUUUCCUGAAAAUUGUUUGUUCAUUAGUUUUUGCUCGCUAGACGCCGCAUCGAAACAACUCAAGUUCAGGGAUGCAAUUGGGAUGCUAAGAGACAAAAACGAGCAAAAAAGGACCAAAUUGAAACACAACCAAUAAAAAUGAGGCCGAAUAAGAAAUGUGGAGAAAAGCCAAGGACUCAUCAGAAUUUUUAACUUUGUAAAAGCCAAAAAUAGAUUAAAAAUCUUAUUUUAUUUUUAUUUAUUUUAUUUUAUUUUGAUUUUAUAUUAAAUUAGUUAAGGCCAAAAAUAACAAAUUUUAUAUGUAUAAAUAGGCCUUAAUGUCUUUUGAAAAGGCAUCCCUUAAUUCUACAUUUUAAUUUCAAUUUGGAAUUGAAUAGAUUUAUUUUCCUUUUUCUUUCAA